rnacentral:rRNA from 1 species
AUUGAACGCUGGCGGCAGGCCUAACACAUGCAAGUCGAACGAGUGGCGGACGGGUGAGUAAUGUCUGGGCAACUGCACGAUGGAGGGGGAUAACUACUGGAAACGGUAGCUAAUACCGCAUACCAUCGGAUGUGCCCAGAUGGGAUGAGCUAGUAGGUGGGGUAACGGCUCACCUAGGCGACGAUCCCUAGCUGGUCUGAGAGGAUGACCAGCCAAACGGGAACUGAGACACGGUCAAGACCCCUACGGAAGGCAGAAGUGGGGAAUAUUGCACAAUGGGCGCAAGCCUGAUGCACCCAGGCCGCGUGGAUGAAGAAGGCCUUCGGGUUGUAAAGUACUUUGAGAGAGGAGGCGUUACUCGCAGAAGAAGCACCGGCUAACUCCGUGCCAGCAGCCGCGGUAAUAC